rnacentral:rRNA from 1 species
AGCAGUCGCCGCGGUAAUACGAGGGGGGCAAGCGUUGUUCGGAAUUAUUGGGCGUAAAGGGUGCGUAGGCGGUUUGACAAGUCUUAUGUGAAAUCUCUGGGCUCAACCCAGAGUCUGCAUGGGAAACUGUCGAGCUUGAGUAUGGGAGAGGUGAGUGGAAUUUCCGGUGUAGCGGUGAAAUGCGUAGAUAUCGGAAGGAACACCUGUGGCGAAAGCGGCUCACUGGACCAUUACUGACGCUGAUGCACGAAAGCUAGGGGAGCAAACAGGAUUAGAUACCCCCGUAGUCCCUGUCUCUUAUAC